UUCAAUAUUUACACCAUUCUCUGCCGCUGCUCUCUUCCCGUAGACUUCAUCCUCAUCCUUCCUCCUCAUCCUCUCCCGUAGCUGUCGACUGCACCCAGCCAGCACGGAGCCACUACCGUCGCAUUGCAGAUUGACCCAGGUGGAGGUUCAAGUGAGGAAGUUGUAUUGUGUGAGUAAGGCUGCUGUUUUACCUAUUAACAUUGAGGAUGCUGCUCGGAGUGAUGUUGAAAUCGAAAAGGCUUUGCAGGCCGGAGAAACACUUGUUCGAGUUAAUCAGGAUACCCACUUGAAUAACCGAGUUCUUGAUUUGCGAACACCUGCGAAUCAGGGGAUAUUCCACAUUCAGAGUCAAGUUGGCAAUAUCCACUCGCCAAAGUUGAUUGCUGGUUCAAGUGAAGGUGGAGCUGCUGUUUUUAGACUCAACUACAAGGGUCAAGAUGCCUACCUUGCCCAGUCACCUCAGCUUCACAAGCAGAUGGCUAUAUGUGGUGACUUCGGCAGUAUUUUUGAGAUUGGUCCUGUUUUUAGAGCUGAGGACUCCUUUACCCACAGGCAUUUGUGUGAGUUCACUGGCCUUGAUGUUGAGAUGGAGAUCAAGAGGCACUACUUUGAGGUAGAAUUAGUAAUUUUUUAGGCAUUUGUUUACCUUUAUCGCCCUAUAUGACGAUGUAUGUUAACUUAUGGUGAAAUUAUAUGCUUGUUUGUUCAGGUCAUGCAUGAUCAUUAAACUUA